CAGCUGGUGGAGUCUGGGGGAGAUGUGAGGCAGCCUGGGGGGUCUCUGAGACUCUCCUGUGAGGGCUCUGGAUUCACCUUCAGUGACUACUAUAUGGACUGGGUUUGCCAAUUUCCAGGACAGGGACUGGAGUCGCCUGGUUUUAUUAGAAACAAAGCCAACGGUCAAACCACAAAGUAUGCUGCCUCUGUGAAAGGCAGAUUCACCAUCUCAAGAUAUGAUUCCCAAAGCACAGCUUCAUUGCAAAUGAGCGGGCUGAAACCUGAAGACACAGCCCUGUAUUACUAUGUGAGAGACACA